rnacentral:rRNA from 1 species
GAGCGGCCGAUGUCUGAUUAGCUAGUUGGUGGGGUAAGAGCCUACCAAGGCGACGAUCAGUAGCGGGUCUGAGAGGAUGAUCCGCCACACUGGGACUGAGACACGGCCCAGACUCCUACGGGAGGCAGCAGUGGGGAAUUUUGGACAAUGGGCGAAAGCCUGAUCCAGCCAUGCCGCGUGUAUGAAGAAGGCCUUCGGGUUGUAAAGUACUUUUGUUAGGGAAGAAAAGCUUGUUGCUAAUAUCAGCAAGUCAUGACGGUACCUAAAGAAUAAGCACCGGCUAACUACGUGCCAGCAGCCGCGGUAAUACGUAGGGUGCAAGCGUUAAUCGGAAUUACUGGGCGUAAAGCGAGCGCAGGCGGUUAUUUAAGUCAGGUGUGAAAGCCCCGAGCUCAACUUGGGACGUGCAUUUGAAACUGGAUAACUAGAGUGUGUCAGAGGGGGGUAGAAUUCCACGUGUAGCAGUGAAAUGCGUAGAGAUGUGGAGGAAUACCGAUGGCGAAGGCAGCCCCCUGGGAUAACACUGACGCUCAUGCUCGAAAGCGUGGGUAGCAAACAGGAUUAGAUACCCUGGUAGUCCACGCCCUAAA